rnacentral:lncRNA from 1 species
CAUCCCAGUUCUUAAGUCAAUUUGCGGUUAUUUACUUUUGGGUUACUUUGACCUUUUACCGUUUUAAGUAACCGUUUACUAUUUAAGACUCCAAAAGUUGACUUUUCUUCCGUUUGGAAUUUGGGAAAACUUUCUUCAUGAAAGUUGUAGAGGACGUUAAUACGAGUUCGUAGACAUGCUAAACGUUAAAAUUGGAGUUAGCAUGAAAAAGUUAUUAGAUAAAAAGAGUAGACUUUGUUUGGUAAAGAGUGGUGAAUUGUUUUAGUAGGUAUUAUUUUUGGGGUGUUUUAUUGUUGGAGUGGGAUUUUAAGUGAUGGACCGGGUCAAAAAGGGAGUCAAAAGGCCCAGCUCAUUCUCUCUCUCUCUCUCNNNNNNNNNNNNNNNNNNNNAGAGACUGCCGGACCACCCCAGCUCGGACCCUCGCCGCCCCCUCUCUCUUUCUAGGCCUGUGACCGCACGCGGGACGCCGCCGAUUGAGAGAAAUCCCACCGAGAACACCGACUGCCAACUCGUCGGAAAUCCCACCUCCGGCCACCAAAGUUCAUGAUUCUUGGCUCAUAUGGUAGCUCUCAUCAAGGUGAGUAAUCCCUCAAAAGAAAUUGGUCCAAUUCGAUCUUGUUAAUGAGAAAUGUUUAAUUGAAGUUGUAGGGAUUUAUGGAUGUUUUAGUUCGAUUACCCUAGUUAGCCUUAGAAUUGAACUAAGUGCUAGUUAUGAAAGUUGUUUUGCUUGAUGAGAGGAUUAUUCUGUUAAAAUUUGGGAGGCAUUGGACGCCGCCGGAGUUCAGCUGCCCGCCGCCGCUGCCGGUAGAGCAGGCGGCAGCGCUGCCCCUUAGGGGUAGCUUUUCAUGUUUUUGAGUUUUUUUUUAUGAGAGGAGUUUAAUGAAGUAAAGUUUGGAAUUUUUGAAAGAGUUUUGAUAAGGUUUGAGAUUUUUCAAAGAUUAAAGAUUGGAAUGUUAGAAUUGAUGAUUUAAGGUUGUGGUUGAGUUUGAUGUGAAUCCGGUGAGUUUAACCCUAAUAAGAGUAGUGGGUUAAACAGAAGAGAGUUAGAUUUUUUUAUUAACGUAUUUAUUUUCCAGAAUUGAAGUUUGGUCCUAAGCAUGGUUGUUGUGCCAGGAUUCGAGGAGACCUCGCUUGAGUGGCGAUUCGGAUUUCGUCAGGCUUAAAUCUAUGAGUGGACAUUUUGGUUUUUAAUUAAUAUGCAUGCAUAAUUUUAUAAGUUGUCUAUUAUAUUUGUCCAAGUUUAAAUUAUAAUUUCAGCUUUUGAAUUGGUUAUAGAUUUGAGCUUGGGUAAGAGUUUUGGUAUUUGAAUUAUGAUAUUCUUUUGACCUCUGGAUUUGAGAUUUCUUUAAAGAUUUGAGUAUUGUCUAAUUUUUGAAACAUGUUAAUGAUAUGAGUUGUUUAUUUAUUUGAGCAUUUUAACGUGUGGGACACGUCAUUGAAUUUAAUUAUUUUAUUUGCUCUUUGAAUUCUUUGAGUAUGGUUGGGAAUCGUACUUAUGCUUUAGUUAUGAGUUUCGGGGAAACUCACAUGGAUUUAUGUUCCUUUAUUUAUGCCAUACUUGUUGGAUUGUUAUUAUUCAUGCUAGCAUGUCGUUCCGUCUUUCGAGGUGAUGUAGCUUCCAUGUUUUAAGUGGGGUUACUCAAGCCCUUUCCACCUUCGGGUGAUGUGAUGUAGUCGACAACAUCACACAAGCCCUGCACUCUCUCGGUUAUCAUAACGUGAAGGUGUAGGGAGUAUGGGAGUACUUUUGCCUAGGAGGCACCCGAGCUUGGGAGGCUCACUUGUAUGGCUAUAGUUGCUUCUUAAUUAACAUUUAUUGUCUUGACUAGCGGGGCUAGUCCAUCUUUUCGAUAUUUCAUUUUACGAAGGUUUUUAUGCACCUUUAAUGUUGUUUUUGACUAGCGGGGCUAGUCCAUUAUUAUUUAUCUUUGUCGUUAUUUUGACUAGCGGGGCUAGUCCGUUUUCUUGGGAUUUUCUUUAUGAAGGUAUUAUCAACGCUUACAUGCAACGGAUUUCUUGAUUAUUGGAAAAUGGGAAAGUAAUUAAGUUUGGUUAGUUAUGUUGCGAUUAGUUACUUGAUUAUUUUUCGUCCACUCACUCUAACGUUUUAAAUUACUUUUCCCUGGGUCCUUUGGUUUUAAAUGCCCAGUUUGCAGGCUAAGUUAUUUGAGGUCGAGCAUACAUGGAGUCAAGGCAUAGUCAGAGGUUGCUUCCGCUUAUUCUUUAGUCAUUGUUUUUCGUUUAACUUUAGAUAUGCUCUGAUAAUCAGUUAACCAAUUAAUGUUGGUUAUUGUUGGUUGUGGGAUUAGUUUAGUUGAGUAAUUGUUAUAUUGGGAGAUGUGUUGAACUUAGGGAGCAGGAAGGUUUCAGGUGUUGAGGAUGAAUGUUUGUUUAUAGAAGUAUUAAGUUGGAUUUUUCAGGUAAGGGUUGCUUCCGCUUAUUCUUUAGUCAUUGUUUUUCGUUUAACUUUAGAUAUGCUCUGAUAAUCAGUUAAUCAAUUAAUGUUGGUUAUUGUUGGUUGUGGGAUUAGUUUAGUUGAGUAAUUGUUAUAUUGGGAGAUGUGUUGAACUUAGGGAGCAGGAAGGCUCUAGGUGUUGAGGAUGGAUGUUUGUUUAUAGAAGUGUUAAGUUGGAUUUUUCAGGUAAGGGUUAUCCAUUUUCAUGGAAGGUUAUGCCGAAUUUUUGGUUAAUUUUCCUUGAAGGUGGACCCCGCAGGAUUUAUCUCGGGUUUCAAGGUGAAAUUCGGGGUGGGUCCUGUCAACCUACCCGAUAGAUAUCUCCAGAAAAAAGUUUAAAACGGAAGAGUUUUGAAAGAAAGUUUCCGUUGAGGUUUUAAUAGGUGAUUAGCAAUUUUUGAUACUUUAAUUUGCUAUAUUGUAUUUUAGUUAUGAAUUUCUCUAGACAUAUGUGAGAAUUAUUUGUUCUGUUUAGAAUUUGAGAAAAAAAGGCCGCAGCAAGGCGCGGCCAGGUUUUUGCCUAGUGAGGUUUAUAGCUAUAUGACUGAAGUCACUAAACAUACUAAAACCGUCCCCCGCCCUGGUAGAACCGUGAGUUUGGUAAUUAUACCUUGAACGAGUUUGUAUUACAGUACCUAUAUCCCAUGUCAAAUCAUAUACAAAGAAUAUUACAUAAUACUCAAGAAACCAAAACCACAAAUAAGAACAUGUAAUUGAAUUGGCACAAGUAAUGAACUUGGAAAUCGCUGAAUUGUUUGAUUGAUAGGGGCUUGCAGGAGCAACCUUCUAAGACAGAAACCAUA